AUUGAACGCUGGCGGCAGGCUUAACACAUGCAAGUCGAGCGGGGUGAUGGUGCUUGCACUAUCACUUAGCGGCGGACGGGUGAGUAAUGCUUAGGAAUCUGCCUAUUAGUGGGGGACAACAUCUCGAAAGGGAUGCUAAUACCGCAUACGUCCUACGGGAGAAAGCAGGGGAUCACUUGUGACCUUGCGCUAAUAGAUGAGCCUAAGUCGGAUUAGCUAGUUGGUGGGGUAAAGGCCUACCAAGGCGACGAUCUGUAGCGGGUCUGAGAGGAUGAUCCGCCACACUGGGACUGAGACACGGACCAGAGUCCUACGGGAGGCAGCAGUGGGGAAUAUUGGACAAUGGGGGGAACCCGGAUCCAGCCAUACCGCGUGUGUGAAGAAGGCCUUAUGGUUGUAAAGCACUUUAAGCGAGGAGGAGGCUCUUUUGGUUAAUCCCCAAGAUGAGUGGACGUUACUCGCAGAAUAAGCACCGGCUAACUCUGUGCCAGCAGCCGCAGUAA
rnacentral:rRNA from 1 species